AUACGUCCGUUUAUGUAAGUACUAUAUCCGUCUGUUUAUGUAAGUACUAUAUCCGUCUAUUUAUGUAAGUACUACAUCCAUCCGUUUAUGUAAGUACUAUAUCCGUUUGUUUAUGUAAGUACUAUAUCCGUCUGUUUAUGUAAGUACUAUAUCCGUCUGUUUAUGUAAGUACUAUAUCCGUCUAUUUAUGUAAGUACUACAUCCGUCUGUUUAUGUAACUAUUAUAACCGUCUUUUUAUGUAAGUACUAUAUGUUUAUUUAUGUUUGCCAUUUAGCUCCAAGAGAGAAACAUAAAAAUAUUUGGAACUCGAGAGGAAGGCCUUUAGGUCUAAAAUUUGACAGCAAAGGAAACCUUUAUGUAGCAGAUGCCUUCUGUGGACUACUAAAAGUAGAUGUUACAACAGGAACUGUUAAACGGUUGCUUCCAAUAUCGACCGUUGUGGAGGGUAAGGCGGUCAGUAUGCCUGACGAUUUGGCGAUCGACGAACAAGAAGGAGUUAUCUAUUUUACAGAUUCUACCACCAGGUGGUCACUUCGGGAUCUCAUUUUCAUCUGUCUGGAACAUGAAAACUCGGGAAGGGUAAUAGCUUUUAACCUUACCACAAACCAAGCGUCAGUGAUCGUGGACUCUAUGUACUUUCCAAAUGGCAUACAGCUGUCUCAUGAUGGCAGUUUUCUACUGAUUGCUGAAUGGAGCAAGUUUAGGAUAAUGAAAUACUAUCUUAAAGGAGAGUUCAAAGGAGUACUAGAGAUUUUCAUCGACAAUCUCCCUGGAGAGCCUGACAAUAUCCGACCAAGUACAAGUGAAGGUUACUGGGUAACACUAACUGGGGGAAGGAGUAGAGGGCGCCCGUCAUUGGUUGAUAUUAGUUCCGAAUAUCCCUUUGUCAAGAAAGUAGUGGUGAGAACUUCCCACCUUCUCGGCUCUCUCUUGGAACAACUCACCAGUAUCUGGCCGCUUGAGUUUUUAACAAAAACUAGUGAAAAUUUACGCCAUUUAAAUUACAUGUUUCAAUGGGCAUCUCAUCAUGGCCUAGUGAUAGAAGUGGAUGAAAAUGGAAACAUAAACCGAAGUCUCCAUUCUCCGGAUGGUAAGAUCCCCAUCCCUACUGAGGCUUCUGAAAAUAACGGCCAUCUUUACAUCGGAUCCUACUUCAAUGAUUUUGUAGCAAGAGUAAAGCUUUAAGUUCUGAGCAAACUACGCCUAUCACCAGAUUAAAAGCCUCAUUACCCAUUGUAUAAUACCCCUAACGGUGAAAAACAUUAAAUACAAAACUCUUAAAAUAUCACCUCUUGAUUUAUAAUAUUAAAGAUGUAUACUCCAUUAAAGUUAAAAUGCACAAAAUAUAGCUCCAGUUAAAACCCAUAAAAUUUGGUUUUAGUUAUAACCCAUAAAAUCAGUUUUAGUUAAAAUUUCAGUGUCGUAGCGCCUCUCCCCUCCUCCACCGGUGGUUCAUCCGUAAGUCUGUGGGCUCAUGACACUUAAAUCCAGGUUUCAAUACCUUCGGUGGGAGGAACAGAGGUAGCCCAUCGUGUAGCUUUGUGCUUAUCAACAAAACAAACAAAUCAGUGCGAUACAUUUUGACUAUUACUUCUAUUUACGAUGUGUUUGGGUUAAUAUGUUGAUUUUCGACAUUCAAAAAUUAUUUGUACCCCCGAUUGAUAGAUAUUGUUUUUGUCGUUUUCAUCUUGAAAUGUCUAAGAUCGCUUAAUUGUAUAUCGUCACCUUCCUUUUAUCAAAUACCGAAAAAAAAAAAAAGAAUUUCAACAAAUGUUUAAUAUUUUCUAUAAAAACUGAGAAUUGCUCGUUAACACAAUGAAUUGAUUUGAUGACGAGGAACCCACUUUGAAACAAUAAAGUCUGAAGACAGCUUUGAGUGGGCAAUCAAGAAAACUUCGUAACAAGUUUAACAUAGUAACAAGGUUUUUGUCAUUAGCAGAUCUGGCCUAGACUUGGUGAAGUUCAUAAUUGUGUAUGUUACAGAUCUGGCCUAGAUUUGGUGAAGUUCAUAAUUGUGUAUGUUACAGAUCUGGUCUGGACUUGGCGAAGUUCAUAAUUGUGUAUGUUACAGAUCUGGUCUGGUCUUGGUGAAGUUCGUAAUUGUGUAUGUUACAGAUCUGGCCUAGAUUUGGUGAAGUUCAUAAUUGUGUAUGUUACAGAUCUGGCCUAGAUUUGGUGAAGUUCAUAAUUGUGUAUGUUACAGAUCUGUCCUAGAUUUGGUGAAGUUCAUAAUUGUGUAUGUUACAGAUCUGGUCUGGACUUGGCGAAGUUCAUAAUUGUGUAUGUUACAGAUCUGGUCUGGACUUGGUGAAGUUCAUAAUUGUGUAUGUUACAGAUCUGGCCUAGAUUUGGUGAAGUUCAUAAUUGUGUAUGUUACAAAUCUGGUCUGGACUUGGUGAAGUUCAAUGUAAAAAUAUACUUUUGUGUUUAUAAUAGUUAUAUUACUUUCAACGAACAAGUAUAUAAACAAACUGUGGGUAUUUGAAUGGAGUCAAUUUCUCUUCAAACAUGACCAACCUGAAACAGGUAUUAAAACAUAAUUUAUACAUCUCCACAUUCCUUUCUCUUCAAACAUGACUAACCUGAAACAGGUAUUAAAACAUAAUUUAUACAUCUCCACAUUCCGUUACAUAGAUGACUUAAUUUACAUAAAUAACUUGAAUUUUACUCCAAACUUAAUAUAUCAGGAAUAACUCGUAACAGAAAGAAGCAAUAGUAAUGAUGUUCAUACUAAUUAUUUAGAUUUAGAUAUUAAUUUUGUAGAGGGCAGAGUACUGUUGACUGGUUUUGAUAAAAUAAGAUAAUUUAAUUUUCCCAUCCUUUGUCUACCCACCCCCAGUAGUGUUAUUCCGUGUAUAAUGUUAAAAGGUAUUAUUAUAUCUCAGUUAACAAGGUUUUUAAUAGUCUGUAACCAUAGUAAUUCUGUUAUGGAUAAUGUUUUAUUAAUUAUAAGUAAACUGAAAAAUAACGGAUAUAAAGACUGGCAAUUAAAU